CUAAAACUGGGCCACUUGGGGAGUUUUGGCUUAAAAACCUAUUUAUAGAUGAAGGUGUUGUAUCUUAAAUGCUAUAUAUAUCAUCAAUUACCUAUUUUGAGUCUGUAUACACCAGUUAAUAAUUAAUCGAUUUCUAAAUUGGCAAUUAUUUGGCUAAUCGAUUAGUUCAAUUAAUUGUUUCAGCCCUUCAGCAAACAAAACCAUGAAUGAACCUUUACGGAUCAUUCUUGUCUUACACAUCAUACGAGUUGAACCGAUAAGAUGACAGACUGUGUGAGCUUUCAGAAGGAUCAGCUGGGAAUGUGAAACCAAAGAUGUGUGUCUGAGAUUUUUCCAUAUCUUUUCUAGCUCUGUGUUGCAAUAAUAUUUUCAUCUACAUCUAAAACCUACUUAUACCAUGCCAAUACCCAAUCCAUAUUCCCUCAGUACUUAUAGAAAACAUUGUAUUAAUGUUUACAAUAGUUAAGAAGAUAGAAAAAAACUAAAUUUAAGUUGUUGACUCUUGUUGUAUUACAACAGUAUUUGGCAAACAGUUGACAUCUUUGUCUUUAAAAAUACUUGGAUGUUUUUUGUUAUGGAGUCAAAGUUUUGUGCUCCAAAUGCCUCUUUCAGGCAGACAGUGGUUAUAAAUAAAGCCUUUGACUAUUCUUGCUUGAGCUUUAAAAAUUCUUCCAGACCAAUGAAUAUUAAAAAGUAUAUAACCGUGUGUCUCCUUAAGUACAGCAGUAAUAGGUCUUCAGAUGAAGCGAAGUUUCAUUUCUUGUAAUAAAACUGACUGGGGCGUAGCACCAUCCUUGGUGCCGUUUCAGUGUGUUUCAACCCUGAGGAAUCUAAUUUAAUUCAGCUGCUUUUCUUCAUAUCAGGGCUCAUAUGGAACUGAGGACACUGGGCACUAAGCCUCUGGCAGAAUCUACUUUCAUUUGUUGUGUGCAGUCUUCUCACACAUUCAAACAUUGAUUUACAAAGCUGUGGUGGGAAAAAUGCAGAGCAACUUCAAUGCUGAAAAAAGCUCGGCUUUUAGGAGCUUGCACCAGACUGAUUGAGAUUUAUGCUAAAAUACCGCAGUUACAAAUAUAGGCUGAUUAUCCAAGUAUUGCUGCUGCUUUAAAAAAGGUUAGUUUACAUUUUUACUUAAUGUCAGUAUUGUUAAGCGGAUUUAGGUAAUGUUACUUUCGUUAUUGGUUCUGUUUUCUUUCAAAAUUGGAUCUUAAAAACUUGCACUGUCCUGAUCCAAUAUUGAUUUCAUAUAUCAGCCGAAGAACAAGUAUCGGAUUACAUUGGCCUGCAUCUAAAAUCUUUCGUAUAAGACUCCAGCAUUUAGUCCGUCCCAGCAUUUCUAUUCAGCAGCCCUUAUGUCCCCCAUGUAGACUCAUUGGUUGAUAAUAAAUGGCUUCAUUGCUCUCAUGCCUAUUGUUGUUGACUAUUGUUCUUUGAGUACUAUCACUUGAUCAAGCCUUUUCUAACAUUACACUCUUCAAAAUAAGUAAUAAAAGUAUGUAUGAUAUUGUAUUGGGUCAAUAUCGGUUUCGGCCAAUAGUCAAAGCUGCUGUAACAGAAUCACAUCUGAAGUGACCAAGCUGUGUUGGGACAGCUCUCAUAAAAAACCUUAGCGGAACAUUUUUGGAAUAAUCGUAGCAAUAUUUUUUAGUAACAGAUAUUUUCUAAAAAAGAAAUUUAAGCUCUUGAAAAAAACUUUAGGAAACGUUUUUUUCUCAGUAGUUGUCUCACAUUACUUUGACAAUAGGUAACAGCUAAAAAAAAUAAACACCCUUACUCUUGUUGCACCCUCCAUUACAUUUUAAUUAUCAAAACACUACAGAUUAGAAACAAAUCCAUUAAUCCUGAUUAGUCAGUGGUAAUUAUUUAAAGCAGUAGCUAAUGAACAUUUCAUGAAACUGUUAAACAUCCUGGACACCAUUUUAGUGUAACAUUAUGAAAUAUCAAUAUUUUGUGCUCUUAAUUGUUCCUUUUAGACUAAAAGCUAGUCAUGUUUGCCUCUAACACAAUUUGCAAAUCCUUUCAAGCUUCUUUUAACUUCUCAUGGUUUAAAUCUAAAUAGAAAUUUUGCCUCCAGUCACAGACUAUUCAGUUGUUGUGCUGUCAAACAGAAGACAUACAAUGUCUCUUGGUGGGCUUGCCAUCAAUAAAUGGGACUUGACUUUGUAUUUACCAUUGAGAUUCGGCAUGUAGCUUAGGUUUACAGCUGUAUCAGGACCAAAGCCAUGACACAGAUGACAGAGUUAUUUCUGGAAGUGGGAGAAAGUCAAAAUCUUUUACCCAGAGCUGACUGUGAGCGGGCUUUAUUCUCCUCUUAUCUCAUGCUGAUAUUUCCAGGACACACACACACACCCACACACCCCCACACACCAACACACACACACACAUUCUCUCCUUGUCUCCCUUUCUCUGUUGAGCUGCUGUCUCUAUUAUACUCCCUCCCUUCUCCUUAUUCCCCAGUUUUCAGCUGCUCAUCAUCACCACUUUUCUUUUCAUUUCACCACUCUGCACCCCUGUCCCCAUCUCUCCUCUCUCAGGUCAAGUCGUCCUCAUGGCAUUCUUUCCUCAAGAUCAUCAUGCUUUCAUCACUUCCCCUCCCCCUCUUCUUCUGCCCUUUUCUUCAUUAAUCUUCUCUGUCUACCCCAGAUUUCUGUCAGUCUUACACUGCUGUUUACUCAUUUCCACCCACUUACCAUCCCUCUGCACUCUUGCGCUUCCUCGACAUUGCCGUCAUAGUUUCCUGAUCCGUUCUAAUGCCCCUUCCUGCUCCCUCGUCAAAACUUUUUCGUUUUCUUCCUCUGCUGUCAGUUUCUCUUUCUGUCCCUUCACCUCCCUCUCUUUCCAAUUUGAGUCUUUUUUUUCCCCUCCUCGCUGUAUCUAGGACACGGGUGUUGAACAAUCUCUCAAAGUCUCUGACAAGUGGAUCAAUUGUCUGUCCCCUGAUAAUAACCUGCCAUCUACCAUCCACACAUUCCUUCACGAAGGCUUUCUACCAUUGAGCACCUUUAUUUUCUCAGUCCCAGUAUGGUUGCGUGAUGCUUCAGAAUCACAUUUUGUACCGAUCCUGAUGAGAUGUAUACAUGCAAUUGCAGAAAAACUGCUUUUGCCUGGGUGUCCAUGGUGCUGUGCAGACAUUGCAUGACUGUUCACCUCUUUCCGAAAUGUGUGAAAAUCUGCUCUAGGCCAAAAAAGUCCCAGAAAGCAGCUGCAGCAUCCAGGUCUUUAGAGUAACGCAGUGUGUGUAUUGGUUAAAUACAGCAAUAUGCUGCUAAUUAACCAGCGGCUUUAGCUAAUGUGGCCCAGUUUUUCGGUGGUAUAUAGCUGCACACACUCAACACCACUCCAGCCCCACAGUCUGAAAUCAUCCCUGGUUUAUGCAUGAUGGUAUUUCAAGGUUUGUGCAAAGGAAAACCUGCUUCCUCUAUCUUACAGCCUCACAUCGGAAAAUGAUUAAAAUGUAACUGCUUAUCAGAGGGGUUGUGUGUUCUAACAUGAAUACAAUUUUUGCAUAAUAAAAGAUUCAAGGGCUGCACAGUGGCGCAGUUGGUAGCACUGUUGCCUUGAAGCAAGAAGGUCCUGGGUUCGAUUCCCGGCCUGGUGUCUGUCUGCACAGAGCAUGCGUGGGUACUCUGGCUUCCUCCCACAGUCCAAAAACAUGAAUCUCUCUAAAUUCUCCCUAGGUGUGUGUGCAUGGUUGUUUGUCUUGUCUGUCUCUGUGUUGCGACAGACUGGCCCCCACCUAUCGCCCGAAACGGUCGCUGGAGAUAGGCACCAGCACCCCUUCCCCUUCGGUGUACAGAAAAUGGAUGGAUGGAAAAAGUUCAAGUUUUUUUGUCAUCGGCUGUAGAGCUUGAGAUUUGUUGUUUUUGCCCUUCCUAUUUUACAUGAGUAAAGCUUUAAGGUUGCUAUAGGAAUGAUAAUGGGCAACCUCAUUUAUUUUUUAACUUGACUGGUUUUAUAUGUAAACAUAUAUUAUAUAUGUUUUAUUUUUUUUGGCCUUUUUAACAAUACAUUAAACAUUCAGUAUUGUAAUAAAAUGAAUAAGGAAGCCUUUUCAGAACAUUAUUUCUUAAUCAGUAAGGAUCUGAAACAGAAGCACAUUUGCCUUGUUAAAGUGCUUAAGAGAUCCAGCUGCCUUCCAUUUGAAGCACUUAGGAUUUACCGCGUCCUAAAUAUUUAGCUUUCAAUUUCUUAGUCUAGAAAAUAAGUUACCGUCUUCUCAGCCUUAAGAACAGGAUAUGGGUCACUCUUUCUCCAAAAUGCUUGCUGUACUUUGCCAAGUGUCUUAAAUUGGUGCACGAAAGUCUGCAUUUGAGUAAGCCAUAAUGUUUUGGGCUUACUGUGGAAUGAAAAGAUGGAUAUUUCAUGUGUGUCCAAAUUCAGCGUCUGCAUCCUUCAAAGCAGUGGUUCCCAAUCCUUUUGUGUUGUAUUUUAAGAAUAUUUUAAUUUGUGGGAAAUGUUUUUAGCAUAAUGGGGUAGGGGCUUAAUUUUUUAUGAUGUUUGUGGUAUUGCAGUGAUAAACUUGACAAUAAAUGGUCUUUGAGGCAGUUUCUGGCAAUAGUUAAAAGGCCUGCCACUGUAUAUCAAUAGAUCGUCAGAGCCCCAAAAACUAUACAGUUAUUAGAAUAGUCUACUUCUGCACACCAUUUACAGUCGGAGCACUAAAUAGCAUGCAAUGCUUGCAUUUAAUCAUGUUUAUUGCAGAUCUUAUGAAGCCAAUCCCAAUUAUAUUCUUACAUGUUCCUUCAGAAUAUAUUUCAGUUCUUAUCAGGAUUUUAAAAAGCCUCCAUUAAGCAUGAUCAUCACCAAGUUUUUCUCUGUUCCUGUGAUUCUCAGUACAAGCCAUUCCUGCUCUGCCUCACUUGGUGGAUGCUUGAUUGUGAGACGGCAGCAGUAGGAACUGUUGGCAGUAUCUUUUCCGCAGCUCUGACAGCGCUGUAGGAGAGUGAACAGUUUACAGUGAAGAUGGCAUCAAAAACUGUAAUACUGGGUUACAUGCGUGCGGCGAGUCCCCUGUGCAUCAUUAGGCAAUCUGAAUCCAGCACAGGAAUAGAGCAAGCUGCCUCUACCAAUAAACAUUGCAUCACUGUGGGAAAAAUAAAGACCAUAAAGGGGAGAAACAGAGUUAGAUUUGUGUUUAUUUGCCAAAAUGGAAAAAGAUCUCUGGUGACUGGGCCCAGAUCUUGGCCCUAAAUAGGAACACAUGAGGGGAUUUAAUCCAUAGCUCCACUGACAAAAGCUCUCCAUUUGAUUUAGAUCACUAUAGUCCUUUCUUUUUCACUUGAGAUGACAGAAAAACUGUUAAGGGCCUGACUUAUUUAGCAGAAUUGAGAGGGGGGAAUUGAGGGGGAUUGCUCAAGAAAUGGUCAGCAGGGUCUCUCCAACAGCUUGGAUCCAGAGUUUCCAUGGCAGCUGUCACUCACUGAUGGGAGGUGGUGUUCCCCAUCACUUCAAUUACUGCUUGGGAUUAAGUUCAGAGAUGCUCCACAAAUCCAGGACAAACAAUUUAUGCAACAGAGAACCCCCGGCUUGCUGAAGGCACAGUGGGAUGUUUGCUUCCAGCUGGAUUCAGUGAUGCAGCGCUCAGAACGAGUCAGAAGCACUGCCGUCUCUUCUUUCCAGGUAGACAUGCUGUGUUUGCACUAGCAGCUGUAAAUAAUCCAUCCUGUCAGUCUGGAAAUGAACUUUGGUAGAAAGUAAUGGUGCAGUGGUUUUUAUGCACUUCUGCUUUUAGGCUCCCAUCCCCCAUUCUUUUUUUUGUUUUUAUGUUAAAAAAAAAGCUAGCAGAUUACACUCAAUCAUUCACUGUACCUCCCACCAAUGAUCAGAGGGCAAGAGGCAGAGGUAUUAUAGAGGUCACCAGUCCAUUACGGUCAAAUUGCAACCAAUUUGAAAUGUAUGUGUAGCAUUAUUAAACAUACUCUUUACAACUCGGGGUGCAACAAAAAUUUGGCCGACCAAUAAUCCAGCCACCUGAGUUUUCUUAAUGUUUUGAGAUCUGCAAUCGUCCAUAAGAAACCGAUCUUUUCCACCAAUCUUAUCUACCUCUGCAAAGGUCUGAAAAUCAACCGCUGUCCCCUUUUGCUCUGCUGUGAGAGCGCUGACUGACCCGCCAACCAGGUCAUGUCUGUAUGUCAGUUUUGUCACAAUAUUUUCUGACUUUUCAGAUCCAAUCAGUAUCUGCCAAAAGCAGAAUUUGGCUACUUUAAAGACCAUUGAUCGACUAGAAAACUGCAAUCGGUGCACUCCUAGUUGAGAGAAAACUAAAUAACUAAGGGUUUUAAGGCUAUUAUCUGUAGAAAACCAGAAUUACCUCCUUGGAAAUAAUGGAUUAAAUCAUAUGCAGACUGAAAUGUAAAAAA